CUAGUUGUAUUAUUAGUUAAUGCAAGAUCGACUACGUCGACUAAAGUUCUAGGUAUAAUAAUGAUGAUGACAAUUUUUUACCUAUAUGUCUUGACCAAGUCUCGUGCCAGCAGUCGCGGUAAUACGUGGAAGACUAGUGUUAUUCAUCUUUAUUAGGUUUAAAGGGUACCUAGACGGUAUUUCUAGCCCAAAAUAGGGUACGGAUUUACUAGAGUUUUAUGUGAGGAGGGGAGUACUCGUAGAGUAGAGAUGAAAUUUUGUUAUACUAUGAGGUAACUGGUGGCGGCGAAAGCAACCUUCUAUGUAUAAACUGACGUUGAGGGACGAAGGCUUGGGUAGCAAAUAGGAUUAGAUACCCUAGUAGUCCAAGCAGACAAUUCUGAAUGCCAUAGAUUAGAUUAUUUUUGGUCUAUAAAUGAAAGUGUAAGCAUUCCACCUUAGGAGUAAUGUGGCAACACAGGAACUGAAAUCAUUAGACCGUUUCUGAAACCAGUAGUGAAGUAUGUUAUUUAAAUUGAUGGUCCACAAAAAACCUUACCACAACUUGAAUAUUUUUAAUUAAUACAAGCGUUGCACGGCUGUCUUCAGUUAAUGUCGUGAGAUUUUGGUUAACUCCAUUAAUUAACGUAAACCCUU
rnacentral:rRNA from 1 species